rnacentral:rRNA from 1 species
AUGGCGAACCCAUCCACGAGCCUGAGGCCGUCGUGCGCGAUUCCCGGUGGCGGUAAGCCCACCUGCCUCUGCUCGCCGACGAACCACCCGGGCUCCUUCCGCUGCAGUCGCCACCGGAGCCCGCGCGGGCGGCCGCUGUCGUCCUCAGGCCGCGCCUCGCAGCAGGCCGCGUCAACGUCGGGCGCAAGCGCGACGGGGCGCGAGGAGGGGAUCAUCAGGAGCAGCGGCGUCGGCGCCGCAGGCAGGACCGCCAAGGGCCGGUCCGUCCUGCGCGCGCACCUGCUGCGGCUGGUCAGCCCUCCGUCCUCCGGCGGCAAUGACCGCCGCCGCUGCCGCGACUUCAAGCCCCGCCCGUCCAGGCUGGGCCGCCUCGCCGUGACCGCCGAAAGCGAGCAGGCGGCGCAGCGAAGCGAACAGAGAAAAGGGGAAGCGAACGGGCAGCGCGAGAGAAAAGACCUAGCCCGCGCCCCCGCAGCCGCCUCCUCUCCUGCCGCCGCCGCCUCGUCCUCGUCUCCUUUCUUGCCCUCAGCGCCGCCUCCUCUCCUUCCUCUCUCUCCCUCUGCGCCACCUCCUCUCCUCUUCAUGCGUGGCGGCGUCUCGUCAUCCCCAGCCCCCGCCCAUCCCCAUCCUCCCCAAUCCCCUCCUCCCGCACGAACCACCACCAAGAAGCCACGGGCUCCUCUUCUCCUCCCCAAUCGUGAGUCCUCACCACCAAGAAGCCAUGGGGGGACUGUGCCGCCGCUGGAAGAAAAAAGGAAGAGGAGGUGGCACAGGGGAGACCUGAAAAGAAGCAUCCAAGGAUCUAUGGCGGGGGAGACCAAGGAGACGCAGGGGAGGGGGUCCAAGGCCAAGCCUUCGCCGCCGGCGGCGACAAGCUCGUCCGGGUCGUCAUGGCCGGCGCCGGCAAAGCGGGAAGGCGGAGGUGUCGUGGACAAGGACCCCAUGGCCACCUUCGCCAAGAGCGUCCGCAUCUUCAUCCACUACUUCUCCGCCACGGACAUGCCUCCUGCCUUGCAUCUCCUUGUUCUUCCUCAUCCUUGUUUUUGCUAUGUUUUUGGGAACGGAAAGAUACAUAAGAUCAAUGCUGAAUACGUCUUCAAGGUGCUCGAUGGGAUUGAGUUCCUAGGGUUUUUAGAGCCCCUGAUCAAGCAUUUGAAGGUCUUGGAGUCUCCAUCCUGUUCUGUAUCCUUCUACUAUGUGUUGUUUUUUCUCUUCAGGCAUUUGCUUGCAUCAAAGAUUUAUUUCCACCGCCUAAUCGAUCAAAACAAUUGCUGGGGUAUUCGUGCAUCGUUGCAUGAUGUGCUUCUAACAUGUAUCAGCAACAAAACAAAGGUUUUCCUAUGUUCAGUGGAAAACAUUGUGUCCAACCUGCACAAAAAUGCCAAGAAGUCCUUCUCGGAGAUGAUUAAGGACAUGUACCUGCACUACAACGAGAGAUCUGGGCUGCUUCUUGUGGCUUCCAAACUUGAAAUUGUCACGACUGGACCCCCAGACCCCACUAAUCGGGUGACCAGGGAGGCGGAGCCACUGGACAGGGAGACGGGUGACGAGGACUACAAGGAGCCAACCACGGGCGGACCCGAUCAGAGAAGCUAUUCUUCCUCCUACUUUCCCCUUCCUCCCCAUCUCACCUGCUCCCGGCUCCUCCUCCUUCCCCAAAAUUCCUCAAGAGUAGAUCGGCCCGUAACAUCUGGUAUCAGAGGUCAGGACGCCCUGGAGACCGCGUAUCCAAAGCCUCGCUAUCACACCAAGCAGGCGCAGCAAGCGGCGCUGAUGGAGGAACAACUCGCGGCCCUGGCGAAGGCCGUCAACGACGGGCGGGUGGCCAACGACGCCCGCCCCGACGCGAUCCAGACCUCCCUCGAGCUCUGGCGACCGGCGGUGACGCACCUGCAACAUCAACUGGACGAGCUGCGUACACAGGUGGGGCGGAUCGCGCUGCAUCCAUCGCUCGCGGCACCUCCGGAUCCGAUCCCGGAGGAGGACGCGGUGGUGCGCCCGACGUCGACAGCAAGCAGAAGCGUCGACCGCAGCGACCACGGGCCCGACGGCCACGGCGAGAUUGACACCACCGGAGGCAUGGCACACGGGGUAGUCACCACCCAGUUGCCGCCUCCGGUCAAGGUUCUGGCGCGACCCUCCAUUUCACGAGGAAUGCGGCGCGAUGGCUGCAGCUACAUGAAUUGUGGAUUCGGGUCGCGAUCCUCCAUUUCAUGGGGAAUGCGGCGCGAUGGCUGCAACUACAUGAAUCUCGGGGCACUAGGCCACCUGCGGCUGCUGAAGAUCGACGCGGUCAAGAAGCUACUCAUGCUCAAGUCCCAGGAGCAAGAGGAGAUGAUCGCGUGGCAGACCACGCCACACACAGUGCGCUUGUUGGGACGAGUGGAAGGGCAAGAAGUAUUGAUCUUGGUUGACUUUGGUAGCUCCCAUAGCUUCAUCAGCGAGCAAGUGAUGGAGCGCUUGCAGACGAAGUGUGAAUGGAAGACUCAAGGGCAGUCUUUCAGUUCAGAUCUACGUGUACUAUCCUUGGGCUGCUAUGAUAUGGUGGUGGGCAUGGAUUGGUUGGAACAAUGCGGGCCUAUGUGGGUCGAUUGGGCGAACAAAGUGCUUCAAUUUCAGCACCAGGGCAAGUCGGUUCUGCUAACAGGGAUCCAACCUCGACUGAAAAUAGUGCCACAAGUUUCGGCAGUGAAGCUCAAAGCAAUGGAGGAUGCUGGAGAUGUAUUGCACUUUGUUGCCUUGUGUGCGAUUGCGCUAGCAGCAGCACCUACCACGGAUCAAGUACCACAAUCGAUUCAUGUUCGAUGCUGCAUUCUCGACGACAAGUACUCUGAAACGAAAGGUGCUCCGCGGCGAGUGAAGGUGCAGUGGGAUGGCCUGCCGCCCUCUCUUGCUACCUGGGAAGAUCCUGAGGAACUGCAGCAACGCUUCUCGGCGGCACCGGCUUGGGGACAAGCCGGCACACAAGGGGGGAGGAAUGACACGACUGGACCCCCAGACCCCACUGAUCGGGCGACCAGGGUGGCGGAGCCACUGGACAGGGAGACGAGUGACGAGGACAACAAGGAGCCAACCACGGGCGGACCCGGCCAGAGAGGGCCAGUUGUAAGGGGAUUAUCGAAAAAGACACAGAAACAAAUCGGAGAGAAGCUGUUCUUCCUCCUACUUUCCCCUUCCUCCCCAUCUCACCUGCUCCCUGCUCCUCCUCCUUCCCCCAAAUUCCUCAAGGAUUUUUUCGAAACUUUUAAACAUGAUUUCGACGAAGUUUUCUUUGAAUGUUGGUUUGAUGUGAUAUUCUUCCUUGUAACUCAAGGCGGCCUGCAGGCAAAGGACACAUCCGAACAAUCAUGGCUGCAUGAGUUUUCCAUGGACUGGAUAUCCAGGACAAGCCGUGACUGUCUCCCCAUAGCCAACCUUCUACUGCCCAUCAACUUCCACGUAAUCUUCUCACGGCCCUCAGCUGCUCAUAUAGCUAUACUUCGUCGUUCACCUAUUCACCCUCACCUCAUCAACAUCCCUUCCUCGUCAUAG